AAUGAACGUUGGCGGCGUGGAUUAGGCAUGCAAGUCGAGCGGAAAGGCUCCGCAAGGGGCACUCGAGCGGCGAAAGGGAUAGUAACGCGUGGACAACCUGCCCUGGGGACGGGGCUCGCUGGGGGAAACACCAAUUAAUACCCGAUGACGUCUCCGGACCAACGGUGUGAUCCCGCCCUGGGAGGGGUCCGCGUCCUAGCAGCUAGUUGGUGAGGUAACGGCUCACCAAGGCAACGACGGGUAGCGGGUGUGAGAGCACGACCCGCAUCACUGGGACUGAGACACUGCCCAGGCACCUACGGGUGGCUGCAGUCGAGAAUCUUCGUCAAUGGGCGAAAGCCUGAACGAGCGACGCCGCGUGCGGGAUGAAGGCCUUCGGGUUGUAAACCGCUGUCAGUGGGGAGGAAAUGCCGGAGGAAUCACCCUCCGGUUUGACCGACCCGCAGAGGAAGGACGGGCUAAGUUCGUGCCAGCAGCCGCAGUAACAC
rnacentral:rRNA from 1 species